UCCUGGAUCCUCUACAUCAGUCCUAGUAGGAGUGGUUGUGGGUCUGGUUGUUGCUGGUGUUCUACUGGUCAUUCUCCUGGUCCUGCUGUGGAGAUAUCAAAACAGCAAAAGGCCCCCUCAGCCCCAGAGCACCAACCAGGACCCCCAACAGGACCAAGGAUCUACCCAGGGCCAGGCUCCUGAUACUGGGUAUACACAUCAGCAGCAUGGUGGCACUAACAUCUACGAUACGAUCAAUCCCUCAGACAACAAUGAUAAUGAUGCUGCUGGUGCUUCUGC